AUUGUGAAUAAGUCGUUUGUAAGGUGCCGGUAGUUGCUGUGAUCUGUUCAGGGGGUUUGUUCUAAGUUAGAACAAGACGCAUACGCCAACAACUCCGGUUUAACCACCGCUGCAAGUCCAAGGCUAUUCAGAUUGUCAAAUCCACCAGUAGACGACUGAUACGAGCACGGAUUAACGACUGUCACAAACGAAUCAACUAUUACAUCAAGCAACAAGAAAAAAGACUGAACAAACUGAAGGAAGUCAUACCAACGACAAUCAAACGAUGCUGAAAUACACAGACUUUGACACAUUUAUGUGAAAUUUUGAUGAAAUGUUAGUUUUCCUACAAUUUAACAUUUUCCAACUUUUUUAUACACCCUGUAUGGUUGCAUAAGUCCACCUUAAAAAGAGACCUAAUAAUUAAAAUAUUCAAGAGUAGAGCAGAAAAAUUCAUCAAAUCCAUUAAUUAAAAAUGUUUAAUCAAAUCAAACUAAUUCAAACCAUUAAAACUAUUACCGAUUCAUUAUAUUAGUACAACGCAUGCCAAUUUAGUUCAAACAAAAUGAAAAAAGAAGUAAUUUGUUUUGAAAUAGUAAUGGUUGACAAUUCUGGCUUUUUAAAUUACAUGUUCUGGUAGCUACUGGCAAAGGUUGAUUCAUCACAAACCA